rfam:Loxodonta africana unplaced genomic scaffold scaffold_15, whole genome shotgun sequence.
GGCCUGGUGGCUCAGUAGUUAAGCACUUGGCUGCUAACCAAAAAGUUGGUGGUUCAAACCCCCCAGCUG